UACAGGGGGUGCGAGCGUUAAUCGGAAUUACUGGGCGUAAAGCGCACGUAGGCGGCUUUGCAAGUCGGGUGUGAAAUCCCCGGGCUCAACCUGGGAACUGCAUCCGAGACUGCAUUGCUAGAGUAUGGGAGAGGGAAGCGGAAUUUCUGGUGUAGCAGUGAAAUGCGUAGAUAUCAGAAGGAACACCAGUGGCGAAGGCGGCGACCUGGGCCAAUACUGACGCUGAGGUGCGAAAGCGUGGGGAGCAAACAGG
rnacentral:rRNA from 1 species